CGGUCACUCAGGCCGGGCUUCAUAUUUCUGUCUUCAGGCAGAAUUUCUUCUUCUCCAGGAAACGUCAGUCUUUGGUCUCAAGUCCUGAACCGAUUGGAUGAGGUCCACCCACGUUAUGGAGGAAAAUCUCCUCCGCUCGGAGCCGGCGGGUUGUAAACGCUGAUCGCAUCUACAAAAUCCCUUCCCUUGAGUGCUGAGUGCCGGCUCUUAGCCCAGCCGCAUGGACGCUAAUGUAAAAGCAUUUUUUCUAUAAGAAACAACAUUCGAAGAUAAACCUUGGACAAAUCAAUCUGGUCUGAUAAUUUUGACUGAAAAAAAUCAGUGUGCAAUGUAUCAUAAGUCUUCAUUUAAGCUUUGAUAAGAUCUGUGUUUUCUCCUGACCAGUCUGGAUAUUCUGGAACACUAUAUGGAUAGAUGCAACUUGCAGGAAGCUAAUGGUGAUGCAAAUGACUCUUGACCUACAGCAAUGGAAAUGUUUUGUCCAGCGGAGCUGUUGCAGAUCACUUCUGCAGGUAGAAAAGAAAAUCUCAAGUGACAGUUGCCUUGGUCUGCUGGAUGCUAAUCUGUUCUGAAGCCAUAAUCACAGUGCUGCACCAGCAUUCUCUCCAGAGCGGCUGUCUGUGCCUUGUUCUCUCCAUUCUUUAUGAACCAGCCUUAGCAUCUUGCUUAUUGCCUCAUUAAGGUAUUAAUUAGAAUCUUUCGCAUGUGCUCCUUUUAAAAAUACUCAGAUUUAUGAGAGUUGCCCACACUCCAGUUACGGUCUUUUUGCUGAUCUUGCUUUUUCUGUAUCGAAAGCUCUCCAUAGCUUUCAAAAAACCACAGUCACAUGGAACGUUGCCGAGACUCUGCUUGCCUUACCAUCAGCUAGUCAUGGUGCACAAAUUAAAACUGGGAACCAAUCGUGUGGAGUCUGGCAUUUGCCGUGGAUAAGUUGCCAGAAUCUUAUGCUUCAGGACAAAGUUCUCUCUGCAGAUAUCCUGGAGGCCAGAGUUAACUUGGUGUGUGGAAAUCACUGCCUUGACACGUGUUAUGGGUUAAGCUGUGUCCUCCAUAAGAGCUAUGUCAAAGGCCUCACCCCUAAUACCUAAUAACGCGACCUUAUUUGGAAAUAGGGUCAAUGCAAAUACAAUCAGUUAAGAUAGGUCAUUCUGGAGUAGGGUGGGCCCUAAUCCAAUUUGACUAGUGUCCUUUAUAAGAAGACGGUGUGAAGACAGAGACACAGGGAGAAGGCCGUGUGGAGACGGAGACAGAGAUUGGAGUGAGGUGUCCACAAGCCAAGGAAAUGCCAAAGAAGGCUGGCAAGCCACCAGAAGCUCCGAGGAGGCCAGGCAGGAUCCCGACAGCACUCAGGGGAGCCCGGCCCUGCCAACACCGCCAUUCUGGAUUUCUGGCCUCCAGCACCGUGAGAUGACAAAGUUCUGUUGUUGGAAGGCCCCAGUUGUGGUUCUUUGUUAUGGCAGCCCGAGGACAUUAAUGCAACAGAUAAGCCUGAAAAUAACUGUUUAAAACCAAGUGACUUUCAACCAAAACUUUCCUUCCCAGGGUUCAGAGUAUGAAGUUUUCUGCUUUAUUUAAAAGGUAAUGUGCAAACCUUGAAGGAGUUCAGUCCAAAGAUCAUUCUCAAAGAAAAUUUCUAGUAAACUUUCAUCCUUAUUUUUAACGUCCACAGUAUCUCCAGGAAUCUGCUCCUCUUCAUUCCUUCCAUCUGUGAUGUGAAACCAGAGCAGCGAGCUCCCACCCCACCAGGAGCUGAAAUGUGUGAGUGACCAUGAGCCACAUUGGGGAAAGUUUAGCUCCUUCCAUGAGAGAACGGGCUGUGACGGACAGAAGUAAUACCCGUUAACUAAGUGUUGACAAAAAUAAUCCAUAAUCAAUCUAUAAAUGAAAAUUUGGGUGAGUUUAUUCUGAGCUGAAAUCUGAGGACCAUGGCCUGGGGCCUUUCUUCCCAAAGGAAGAAAGGGCACCAAAGAAGUGAGGUAUACAGAGUGGUUAUAUACCCCCAAACAGGACUUUCACAUAUGAUUGAAAUGUCCCUCCCACAAUAGUCACAAGAUUGCCCUGUCAGCACAGCGCUUGAUGGACACAGCAGGUAGUGGUCUGCUCUCUCAGAGGGCGUAGCAGGAGGCAAGUCUAUUGUCUCGAGCUGGGCGGUCACAGGUGAGCUCAGCAAUCAGUU
rnacentral:lncRNA from 1 species